UCCAAAACAGUUUUUUAAAUAUGUGCUGAAAAGCUGUCAUUCCAAUUUGCAGUGCUUCGUUAGUUGACUCUUGGUUUGAUCCGAAGCCUAUUUAAUCUCACACAGUUGAAAUCAGAAUUACCCUCACAUGAUUAAUCCUAAAUGGAAUUGAUGGAGAAUGAAAUGAGACCUUCUAGCAGAGGAGGAUAGCAGGAAAGGUGAGAAGCAAUUACUGAGGUGUGAUGAAAAGAUAUUUCUGUUGGGUUUACUCAUGGAUUUCAGCAGCCCAGCUUCAGUUUCGCUUUUUUAUGUUUCAGCAGGUGAAUUGUGGCAGGAACAGUGACAUCACUAGAACCAACACAUGCAGCUAGAUGAGCACCCAGUGAGAAGCCCAUGCUGAAACUCCAACUUACAAGAGCAAAUUAUUGAAAUGACAAGAAGAACCUGCAGUGGAAACAUGAUAGUUACGCUAAUGGUGCACCUGCUUCUGAGACCCGGAGGAAGAGGCAUCCUCAUCUAAGAUGGAGGGAGCGGUGCAUUUGUGGAAAGGAACUCUUCUGGAGGAAAAGGUCAAAUGAAGCUGAUGCUGUUCAUUCCUGAGAGAGAGAAGAAAGAAAGAAAACAAAAUGUAAGAUCAUGAACCAGUCCUGACCAACCAACUAGAAGAUGAAGCUUUUGUUGUUUUUAUUGUCUCAGCUUAGUUUCCUGUUGCAAAAAUGUAAUAAAAGGCAUACGUGUGUUCA